rnacentral:rRNA from 1 species
UACGAAGGGGGCUAGCGUUGCUCGGAAUUACUGGGCGUAAAGGGCGCGUAGGCGGCGUUUUAAGUCGGGGGUGAAAGCCUGUGGCUCAACCACAGAAUGGCCUUCGAUACUGGGACGCUUGAGUAUGGUAGAGGUUGGUGGAACUGCGAGUGUAGAGGUGAAAUUCGUAGAUAUUCGCAAGAACACCGGUGGCGAAGGCGGCCAACUGGACCAUUACUGACGCUGAGGCGCGAAAGCGUGGGGAGCAAACAGG